AAUCAUUUUAUUGAUAUUACGCAAUAAAUAUGUACAAAUAAAGUUUUUCGGAAAUCAUUUUUUAACUUACUGGGAGCAUUGCAAUAUGUUUCGAAAAUAUGUAAACUGAAAUAUUUUAUAUUUUUUGCCUGCCGAAAAAACAAUGUCUAUUUUAAUAUAAAGCGAAUAGUGAUAAAGAAAUAUAGAUACCAAGAAAUUAAACCAAGCACGGAAUGUGCAAAUUUUGCCUGUGGUUGGUUUGUACAUUUGUCGUCCUGUUAAUGCUGUUCGUGGCCAUGCAGUUUAUUGGCAUUGUGGAACAUAAAGAGAACGAGAAUGUUGUGAGAGAAUUCUUUAAGUAUAUAUCGAGCGCUAUGAAAGCUUAUUUAUAAUUUGUCAAAUAUAAAAAUUAUAUUUAAUA